rnacentral:rRNA from 1 species
ACUCCUACGGGAGGCAGCAGUGGGGAAUAUUGCACAAUGGGCGCAAGCCUGAUGCAGCCAUGCCGCGUGUAUGAAGAAGGCCUUCGGGUUGUAAAGUACUUUCAGCAGUGAGGAAGGCGGGUGACGUUAAUAAGCGUGCUCGUUUGACGUUAGCUGCAGAAGAAGCACCGGCUAAACUCCGUGCCAGCAGCCGCGGUAAUACGGAGGGUGCGAGCGUUAAUCGGAAUUACUGGGCGUAAAAGCGCAAUGCAGGUGGUUUGUUAAAGUCAGAUGUGAAAAG